AUUCCACACGAGCAGCGGCCGCUCAUACCAUACGUUGGUUACUCUGAUGCGAAUGAACGGUGCAAAAUCUACGAUCUUCACAACUUUUCGCAACCAAAUAAUGACAAGGAGACGGCGGAAGAGUACCAGCAAACCCCACCGGCAACCACGAUCCUGAACAUACGUCGGGCCUUCAGACAUCCCUUGGUGGAGUUGACGCCUGGCGGAGGUACGAGCAUCAGGUAUCCUUCAGGCGAGAAGCUGGACACUCGGCCGCCUGAGUGCGUGCAGGCGAACCUAG
rnacentral:lncRNA from 1 species